rnacentral:lncRNA from 1 species
AAUGUCACAUCUUUACUACAUAACAGAAGUUCUAUACAAAAUAAAUAAAUAAUUACAUUAUAAGGAGACAACGGUCCAGCAACCCAAAGUUGACUGGGAGACGACGACCUAGACCUCUCACGAACACAUCGCAGCAUCCUCCAAGCGCCUCAUCCUGCGGUACCUGUUCUUGGCCUGUGGGGGUGUGAGACAGCAAGAGUGAGCUCACAUACGUUCAUCGCUCAACAAGUUGUGGGGAAUAAUGUGUAUGAACUCGCCAAAGGUGGGAGCUCAUGUGAAGUGUAAGGCUUACCAAAGAGGAUGGCUGAAGCUGAGCAUUGCUUUUAAAGUUGGUCAAAAUUUUAUUAGCAAUUACUAAGUAUAAGUAAAUACCAACCCAAUUAAGCAGUAGAACACAAGUAACAACAUCACCUGCGAUGCAAUGCAUAUGACAAAUUGAAUUUAGUUCCAUAAGUUAAUCAUGUGAGGGUCUGAGCUGCUCAUGACCGUGAGCACGGCUAGUAUACCAGUUUUACACUCUGCAGAGGUUGCGCAUCUUUACCAACAAGUCAUGUUACCCAUCUGCCAAGGGAUCGCGACUUCCCGUACACCUCUACUGAGGAGGCGAGGCAGGGUAACACUACGAGGCCUUUACAAAGUUCCACUAGCUUCAGAAAACCCGCUACAGUUUAUAGGAAGCUCCAAUGCAGGAAUCCCUUGCAGGACCGCCAUCGCAGCAAAAUCCUCCCGAGGGCCUCCCUACACUGACCACUCCCCUACUGCCCUUGCCCCUUUCGGGUAAGGUAGUCCUCCACUAGCUUUCCUAAUUAAUCAGCCAAGGGCGUCCCAUUAUACCCUUGUGGUAGCACUGUUUUCCCGGGUGGUCGCUCCAUGUUCCAAUUAACAUAAUGAUCUUAUCAUGAAGAGUGAUAAUAAACAGAUAAUAAAAGUGUAAUCAUGAGUAAUGUAUCUUCAUACCCAAAACCACAUAAAGCACUAGCAAGUACUACCCAAAAAGUUUAGUGGUAAACAAGGUAUAAAGAUAAUCAAACUAGGGUAACCUAUUGGGUCCCAUCAAAAUUAACCUAUGCAGAUCAUUAUGAUUAAUUAGAACAUGAGUGGGUAAAAGGAAGUGAUCAAGGGCACAACUUGCCUGGCACUUGAGAUUCCAGUUACCAGGGUGAUUCUUCAGAUCCUCGUGAUCUCACUGCUAGUCGUAGCAAUACAAACAAACAUGGUAUAGACAGAAUUAACAUCACACCAACCAUAAGUACUAACUUCAUAAAAAUAAUCUACACGUUGCUACGAGAUCGUGGGUUUGGGAACUAUUAAAAUCAGAGUUAAAACGAAUUAUGGGUAAAACAAUAUUUCUAGGCGCAAUAAAUCUAAUAGAUGUUGCACUUAAAUUAGGCAUGUAUUAAGUUAAAAUAUUUGAGUUGAUAUUAAUCAAUUUAACAAUUAUUUAUAAUAAGAGUAUGUUACAACUAUAAAUUAGAUUAACUAGAUUGCCUAGCUAACUAGCAUUAAUUAAACAAUUAAUUAAUUAUUUAAAACAUGUGGUAUAAUUAAAACAAUGUUAUUACUACGUACGCAAAAAAAUAAUAUGAACCUAACACAACUUGAACAAAUUAUUUGACCUAAAAGAUAUCACAUUUUUUUAUAAAUUAGUAGAGCUACAUAGAAAUAUGUGAUAUGAUGGUGGGAAAUUAAUCAUCGAAGUUGUCGCUAAAGUUGUGGAGGAACUCGAAUUUCGACAAGAUGGUCAUAGUGGCUUAUGGUUGCGAGCUUAGCUGACGUGGAUCGCUGAUAUUGGCUCCUGCCCACCAUGCGUGCGGCGGUGCUGGUCAACCGCCCCCGCAUGGCGUGAGCUGCUCCCUACGAUGCUCUCCAUUUCCCAUCUCUAUGCUUACGGGUGAAAGACGACUCCUCAUGUUUUAGCUGGCUCCUAGCAUUGGCUAUGGUCUAGGGAUGGUCGAGGCUCACGACUAUAUAUAUAUCCGGGGACCGAAUCCUAGCGUGGGAGAUUGUUCGGUUAAGAUUUGUUGCCAGGAAAUUCCCAACGAACCCGCUUAGUUCUGUUUUGAUUACCGGGAGAAUGAAGAAACUAGCGCUGCGGUCUCACAUGUCACCCAGAGCAGCCACAAAUAAUCCCUCGCAUCCCAUGACUAAUAGAAAAAUUUCCACCAAGCCACGUGUGUGUGGGGUUCCUUUUUUUUCCUCAACAACCCCCAUGUACGACUUGUUCUUUUCUUUCCAGGUUCUACGUGCAAGAAGUUGCUUUCUCCCUCCGUCUUUCUUCUACCUCCGAUCAAUGAGCAGCCAUGGUUGGGGGAGAAGGGAAGAGGGGUCGGCCAGGACGCUCGACCACACAGGCCAGCCAUGCACAGGGUGGGGCUGCGCCCGAGGGGGGCUGGGUUGCCGGGGAGCCGAGCGCUAGACAAGCGAGCAUGGGGCACAUCGGAGCAGCAGAGCUGCGGCGGUGCGCAACAGCAGGCUGCGGGCGACACACAAGCACGACUGUUUUGUAGCCAUAGCGUACGUUGCAAAACUGUGCAGAGAAACAAAGAGGGAAGGAGAUCUCACCUUCAAUGAAGCAGACUGGUUGACAACGGCGCGCAGGUCCGCGUUGAGGUGCCGGUUCUACGGUGGACAGGGGCAAGCUCUAGUCGAACGGUUCCAGGGAGCGCCCGAACGACGACGAACACAGAAAUCCGUGGCGGCGGCGAUUUCUCCCCCAGCGGCGGUCCUUUUCACUCGGUGAUGAGCUUCGACCCUCUCUGCGCUCAGCGAUACGGCUAGCCCAGCGAGGAUCACCAGACGGAUGAGGGGGUUCCCGAUGGCCCGCGAUUUAUACCCAGGCGGUAAGUCCGAG